ensembl:snoRNA
UGGUUUUUGCUGUAGACAUGACCACAAAACAUUUCCCACUUGGUUUUCUAUCUGCUACCUUGCUCUCAGCCAGCCUAUUGGGAACAUUU